CCCAAGCAUAAGGCAAUUAUUUAUGGUUCUGCUCAAGGAGAAGAGAGAUGGAAUAUGUGAUAGAGUGUGGAAAAAAUGACAGACAGCCUCGUUAGUUCUGUAAGAAUAUCCCCUGGGUCCUCCAGAAAACAGAAAAAACAGAAUGUCAUACCCAGGCCCAACCUCAAGGACUGGUGGGCUGGCUAUAUUAGAAUGCUUGUUACAGUAGCAAAAUCACUCUGCUUAGGACAAACUGGGAUGUUGUUCAUUGUGGUGGAAGGAUCUUAAUGUAUAUAUUGAAAAACCUUGAAUCCUCAGGUACCAUUCUUUAGUUUGAACUCUGCAUUCACAAACAGAGUACCCCUCCCUGAUAAAGGGGAAUCUUGUUUCCCUACCUAUAAGGGGUAGAAGGUCCUGUUUGGGGAAAAUCAUGUAUAGACUGUGAUUCCUCCCAUCUUUCCUCAUGGAUACUAAAUAAUGAGAAAGUUGCAAUACAACACAGUUGGGGAAGUUCUGUGCCCAGGAACAGAAGGUAGACACUGGAAGCAUGCAGAGUCAUUAUCUAGGCACCAUGGUCCACCAGGGACCAGAGAAUCCAUGCAGACCAUCAUUCUGAAGAUGUGACAGUAUCAAGGGAUUCAAAGAUAAAGUUGGAAAAGGGUGAGUUUAUCUACGUGUGAGUGCACAUACCGUAUGUAAGACCCCAAGACGUGAUGAAGAUGUGCUGUGGGCAUAGCUCUUUGUAGCUUAGAUAAGGCAAUAGCAGAUAACUAAAAAAGAGAGAGAUGUACAGAGGAUAAAGGCAGUGAUCAACAGCUCUGACGGAGUAGACGCGACUGCAUAAGGCCAGACAAUGCACAAGUCAAUAGCAAUUUAUAGAAGAGCCGAGAGAACAAUCCAUUUACCAAAGGACUGGGGAGCAAAGUGCUGAGAGAUUCUUCUAAAGCUAAGUGACAAGAAUCCUUCAUAGAUGAGAGCUGUAAUGUAUUCCACUGGAGAGAUGAGCUCCUUGACGACAGUGAUCAAGAGAGAAUUCCGAGACAACAAAAGUCAGGCAGCUAUACUUAACUGACAGACCAGAGAGGCACAAAAUUACCACCGUGAACGGGAAGGUCAGAGUGCUAGUCGGAGCGCCUACAGAGGACCAUGAACUGAGGGGAAAGAAUGGUGGUGUUUUCAACAUCAAAGUGGUGAAGCCGAUGCGUCCAGUGUGACGUUAACAGAAGAAAGAAUGGAAAACAGAGUGCAAUGCUGGCGGAAGUGAGACCCACAGACGCCUUAUGAAUGUAAUGGGAUCUUGAAGGCUGAACAGAUGGCUCGGAGGUUAUGAGCACCUAAGGCUCUUCCAGAGAACCCAAGUUCUGUGCCCAGCAUCCAAGUCAGGCAACUCAAAGCUUUUUGUAACUCUAACACCAGGAAAAUAUGAUGCCUCUGGAUUCUCGGACACCUGGGCUAAUGUAAAUCUAACACACUAUUUAAAAUAAUAAUUUAAAAAAUCUUUAUAAUGGGGUCUCCCUUUUACCAAGUUUGAUAACCUGUCUCCCAACUUUUCAAUGUUCCUAUUAAAGUCUGCGUUUUACCACCCUGUGCCUUGUUCUUUCUCUUUACCCUCCAUGUCUUUCAGAAUGAGUGUGGUUUGUGCUUUUAGCGUCCCUUGGUUCUGGCUCUAAAUUGCCUGUUUAUAUGCUAGGCUCGUUCUGUGGUCUCUAAAUACAUCCUUGGCUUAUCACGGCUUGACUUCCAAUGCCUCAGCACUUCAUAAAAUCAAACACUGGGCACCAGGCUUCUUUGGAUACCCACCAUGUCAUCUGCAUUCCUGUUCUCAACCGCAUCACUUCCAUGCACACUCAGAGCCCUGCAGUGCAGUGCAGUGCAAACUCUACGUAACUGGUACAUUCCUCCCGCAAAGAAAGUCCUCCACGCUCCUGGGAUAUUUAUGACUGUGAGUGUCCUCUACGGAUUUAUGUACAUACACAUUUCAUGUGAUGUCACUCCGCCAGCAGAGCUCCCACACGUCCUACGGUGCACAGCUUUUGUUUUUCCUGGGUGACAGCUCCCUUUGUCUUCAUCGGUAAAAGAAUAUUUUCCUGGCUACCUUUUCUCUUUGCUUCAAGCACAAGGAACUCUUUCUCCAGUCUUCACUGGGGAGAACUUAGGUAAAACUCACAAAGGUGAGCAUCUUCCCUCUAAAUCACACAGAUGGACCGACAGACAGACAGAUGGACAGAUUGACAAACAGACCAACAAAUAUCUGUACACGUGUUGGCGUGCACGCACACACACGCACACACACACACACACACACGCGCGCGCACACACACACACACGCACACACGCACACACGCACGCACGCACAGUGGAAUUUUUCUAUGGUUUCAAUUUUUGUAUUGGUUAUUUUAUUUACAUUUCAAAUGUUAUUUCCCUUCCUGGUUUCCCCUCCACAACCCUCCUAUCCUGUCCCUUCCCACCUGCCUCAGUGAAGGUACUCUCCUCACACCGACCCACGACCAUCUCAUCGCCCUUGCAUCCCCCUACGCUGGGUCAUCGAGUCUCCAAAGGACCAAGGGCCUCCCCUUCCUGAUACCACAUAAUGUCAUCCUCUGCUGCAUAUGCAGCUGGAGCCAUGGGUCCCUCCAUGUGUAGUCUUUGGAAUUUUUUUUUCCAGAGCUGGGGACCGAACCCAGGACCUUGCUCUUGCUAGGCAAGUGCUCUACCCCUGAGCUAAAUCCCCAACCCCAUCUUUGGAAUUUUUAAUGCUCAACUCUACCCAAAGAGCACUUUAAGUGGGUAGUCAAUGGUAAUUUAAGUUUCCUUGUACGUUUGCGACUGGAUCCCAGGAAGGCUUGGAAUUGCAAUCUGUGGUUCUGUCUUCUAACUGCAAAGAGGCAGUUAGAAGUGUUUCCAAGCACUUAAGAGAAGUUGAUGGCGUAUUGCUUCAUUCUACUUUGCUUUUCCUGGUUCUAAGAGGCAACACAUGCCAGACCAUGCAUGGGAUAAUUUCUGAGUACUUUUUAUACUAUGUGUAAAAUUUAUGUGACAUUUGUUUGUUUGCUUGUUUGUUUUACAUAUUUAGUACUAUAAAUCUUUGAACUUGUGGUUUGAUCUGAAUAGAAUGCUGAAUUUUGCUAUACUUUUUGAAAUAAUGGUGGGUUUCUGUUGUCCUCUAUUCAUAGUGUACAUAGUUUACAUUUUGGUUUUGUAUGUUUGAAUCUCAUUUUCAACCUUUUGGCUCACUAGUUUAUUUCUGCAGGAGUCCGGAAUACAUAUCCCAUCAUAAUUCUUAAGGUUCUUUUAGCAUUUGCAUGAUUCCAAGUUCUAUAUUCUUAGAAAAAAGCUCUGGGGACGGUUUGACUUACAGUCCUUUGUGUUCGUUCUUUCAUGUCUGCUGUGAUAAAAAGAAAUUCUUGACAAGGUGACUUGAAGAAGGAAAACCUGCAUCAGAGUCCAUAGACCUCAGCAUCUACAUCUCUAGCGUGACCAGCAUUCGCAUGGUCUAUCAUAUCAGCAAAUCUUUGCAAAGAGUUGUGUAUUCUUGGAUACAUUGCACAUGAUUCUUCAGUCAGAGUUAUGGUUGAGGUCCACUCGGCAUUGCCAAGGCCACCCUUCCUCAAGGUCUCCAGCAGUGUCAACUGACACCAGUGUCUUCACGUCUUCAGGCUCCAGGGUCUUUCUAUGUGACCUCUGCUUUGAGGAUAGUACCAGGAUGUAGAAGAUGUGGUUUCGCUUUUCAACGAGCCUCUUGCCGCAGAGGAGGGAAAGGAAGACCACUCAGAAAGACGAGGGAUCGUGUGAUAUUGAUUCUCCAAGUAGGACAAGAUGGCUGCCCCAGGAGCUACAGGGAUCUGAGCUUCUCCACCUCCCCAACCUUGGUACGUCCCACCACCUCCAAGAUAAGUGGGUGUCCCCCAUAUACUUCUUUGGAAUAUUCAGUUCUUUGCUGAUGGCCACAGUCUUCCUUCCAACUCCCUGUUAUAAGUGGCGAAAGCUGAGCUUGACUUUUGGGUAGGAGAUUUACCAAGGAAGAAAAAUGGGUGAGACGGGAAGCUGGAUUCCUAUCUGCUGCUUGGAAACAAUCUUUUUAAGGACUACACAAACUUCUUCCUCUCCAUAACCUCGAUGAGGAUAUCUGCCUAGGAAACUCUGCAAGGACAUAUGACGCCUUUUAACUCCAUCGAAUUGUCGCCUAUCAUGGGUUAUAAAGACAUAAAAUGCAGUUGGGUACAUUAUAAAAAUGAGAAACAUAGUCAAGAAAACAAAAGGAAGAGAGAGUGUGGGCAUAAAAGCGUAUAGUAAAAAAUUGUAGGAAAGGGACCACAAAUGUGAUUUCAUGCCCUCAAGCAGAAAGGCAGAAAAAUGACUGGUUGUGAAAUGUAUAGCGUGGCAUUAGACGAGAAGCCAAAUGCUGGGUGAGACACAGCUGUUGUUGCCAUUGUGACUGUAGAUGGCUUCUCCCCUGAGUCUUUGUCAAGAAACAAUGUCACGGUCAUCCCAAGAGACAUUCUACAACGGGUCUUGGUAAGCCCAUCUUCUGCUUCAAAGCCAAAAUGACGUCCCAACGGACAAAUGUUAUGUUAUUCUCGGCUUGUCAUCUCUAGGUACAUGUGUGCCUUCUGGGUAGUAUUGCUUCCAAGAACUGUGCUAGUAAAGUAUUUGGCACUCAGUCCUUAGAAGGAAGCAAGACCUUGAUUGGUAACUUUUGUUAGUUACUGUGGUAUAAAUACUCCUACUGUGGCUAGGUCCAAGCCACCAACAAGACGUCACUGAAGAUGUAUGAGGAAGACUGUCCAGCAUACAGACACAACAGAAACGGAUAACCUCAAGCACAUUUAAAAGAGAAAAAAAAAAAAGAAUUAGGGACGGAUGAGUUCUGAGUACUAAUGUUUUAAUGUACUUUGUUUAGUCAUAAGCUUGCAUAAUCUAGUUCUUAAUUACUGUGUGGAGCAGUCGCUGGCAAAUGCCCGAAUAUUUACCAGUUGGCUCAUGCAGAGCCCACUACGGGUUGGUUCUGAAACCCUGAGACUUCUGAAGUAUGACAAGCUCUGUCCCCAGCUGUCUUCUCUGGGCUCAUCUCUGGCUACUUGCUGCCUCCCACCUUCUGCUCCAACAUUCUGAAGUCUUAACGAAUAAUCUAAACUUGUUUUCCUAUCGGACUUUUGGAUGGUUCUCUUUGACCUCAAGACCUCCACAACAACUCCCCCCAUACGGCAAACCUCCCCUUACACAUUUCUCUCUCCAGAAAGUCUUCUCCUGGUCUAUCACCUUUGUCCUAUAAUGAAGAAUUAGGUUUUCGAGAAUCUGACCUUUGCCCUUGACUAUUGUUAGCAAUCUAAAGCCCUUGGGAAGACCUACCUGAUAAGAGUGCUUCUGGUUUGUUUUUUGUUUGUUUUGUUUUGUUUUGUUUUUGAGAGCAAUCUCAGUAGUGAAAGUCAACAAGGAGAUGUGUGAGGGUGGCUUUGAACCCUGGGAUGUCUCCUUGAUAUUGACAGAUGCUAGGAAGGAAGGUUCACUGUGGGUGUCAACUUUGUUACCGAACCCUAUUAAAAACCCUGGAUAUUAAGGCUUGGGUGGGUUUUUCUGAUCACUUGGGCUGCUGGAAGAAAUGUGUGCCAUCCGCCAUUCCCCUAGAAGAGGAGAGCAAAUGGCCUGAGUGUAGAUCUCCCCUGGGCUCUAUCCCAUGGACUGCUUUCCUUGGCAGCUUUUAUCUUUAUUCUUUGUCUGUAACAAACCAUAAUUAUGAUCACAACACACUGCAGUGGGUUUUGUGAGCUAAUUAUUGAGCACAAGGUAAUUUGGAAGCCCCUAAAUGCAACUAGGAUCAGAAAUGACACUAACUCUGGGGACUCCCAAAUUUGGGUAGCACUUUAUGUGUUUUUGCUUUCUGUCAUAUCCGAGGUCGCCUAUACAACCUGGUCUGCCCUGUUUCCCUGUUAGAGGAGAGUUGUUGAACUUUGCUUGCUAAUUCUUCCUCAGGACCUAGCCAGCCCCUAGCCUCAAACAACGAACAUUGAAACGAGCUCUCUAGACCAUGUUAUCACAUUGCCAUGUUUACAUGAGUUCCCAAGACUACUUCUGCUUUUAACACAAAUCAGUUAAAUAACAGGAUACUGAUGACUGGAAGGCUGUUCGGCGACAUCAAUUCUAGGUGUGGGAAAAGGCACAUCUGUAUAACACUCUAUCUUUUAUCACAUCUCUUCAUUAAAUAAGUGAGAUCACAGACAAGUGCAGGGUUACUUUUUGUUCCAGAUGAACGUCCAUUACACUGUGGCUCAACUGGCCCUCUGAGGCCCAGGAAGGCUUGUGUUCUAGGGUAUACGUGGGCUCCAGACAAAAGGCCACCUGAGUCCAGGAUAAAAACUGACAAGGACCUGAGCAAAACAAAGGCAUUUGACCAGGAUGCCCAGCUCUGCUUUUACAAAGUCGAACACAUUAUUAAAUUCCCUUUGUUUGUUGUCCACAGAAGCACAAAGACCUCAGAAGUUAACCCGGGGCUAGGGCAGAAAGCAUGAGAAGCCAAGUCCUUUUCCUACCUGACACACAGUCUAUAUCUAAUGAAGAUCAAGGAAGGCAACAUGUUUAAGGGCCCUGGAGAUGCCUAAUCAUGUGUAAAAUAUUAGCAAACUGGAGACAUGUGCUAAUGGGCGGUUGUGUAACGGUGUUGGGUUAGUUAGUAGGGAGCAGAAAACAUGCAGCAUAUCACUUGAGCCCAACAGGUAGCGGUGAAACCUGGGUCAAAAUGACAUCCGUUACUUUCCACAGUAUUUAUUCUGUGCCAGACACUGGGAACAACUCUCUGUUGCUGCAUUUUGUCCUCGAGACUCCUCAAGGAACUAUUGUCCCAAUUCAAAACCGCUGACAUGCCUUUUGGAAAUUCUUUUAUUAGUGUGCAUUAACUGCACUAAACAAGGUGUUUCCUCAAAGGUUUUCAUACAAGCAUAAAAUGUAUUUCGAUCUCCGUAUUUCUUUUUACUGCAUGUGAAUGGAUGAGGGCAGUGUAUGUGUGGGGGAUUGUAGGUGUACACACGGCUCUACACCCUCAUUCUUCCCAAUCAUCCCCCACCUUAGUCUUUGAGGCAGGGCCUCUUGGUGACAUUUCUACUAGACUGGCUAGGCAGCAAGCUCUAAUGAGUCCAUUUGUUUCCAUUCCUCUAGUUCUGGGUUUACAGGAACACACUGCUCACUGGAGUACAGACACACUGUAUACUAAGGUUAAAUAUACACUGUGCAUUGGAAUUACAGAUACACAGGGUACACUGGGGUUACAGACACACACUGCACACUGAGGUUACAGUCACUGUACACUGAGGUUACACACACUGCACACUGAGGUUACACACACUGCACACUGGGGUUACACACACUGCACACUGGGGUCACACACACUGCACACUGGGGUCACACACACUGCACACUGAGGUUACACACACUGCACACUGAGGUCACAGACACACUGCACAGCAGAGGUACAUAGAAACACUGCCUAUGGGUCUUGGGGAUCAGAACUCAGGUCCUCAUGCUUGCACAGCAAGCAGUUACUAGACCAUCUCCCAGCCUCUGUUCAUGAGUCGAAGAGAAAUGGAAACAGAUUUAAAAAUAAGUCAGAAGUAGCACUCAGUCACAGUCACAAAGUUCAAACGUUGAGAGUCCCACCCAGGUCUGUUUCUGUAAAACUGACUUUCUAACUAACAUGUAGCACUGCCCUUCUGGAGGGAGAGCAGAUGCAGGGAACAUUUGCAGUCACCAGGCAGAUACAACUAAGGAUUUUGUUGUGGUUCACAUCACCAUUCACACAGGGAUAGGUAGACUGAGGAGGGACUGAUUACAGAUUAACAGGAACUGAAACAUCUGCCCUUAACCCUAGCAAAUGCUACAGUGCCUAUUAUAGACCAGACCUUGAAGACAAGGAAAAGAUUGCCUUUUGGAAGCUUGGAGUUUGGGGUCUAUUUUAAAAUCCAUUUGAGCAGGGCACACAGACAAAAAAAUUAAUUCAUGACAACUUGUUCUCAAGCUGUGAAUUUGGGAGGACGUUUGCAGGAUUCAUUAGCCCACAGAUUCACACUCACACCUGUGUGGGGGCUGUUUUAUCAGUUCCCGGAGCAAGAGGAUAAAAUACAUGAAGAAUCUGGGUCGUGCCUUUUUCUCUAGCUGGUGAUUUGUAAAUGCCAGUGGAGGAAGCUAAGGAGGGUGGUCAGCAGCCUGUGCCCUUCAGCUCCCUCCUACUAAAUCUUUACUCUUCUCUGCAGUCAUGUGUGUGGUCUGCUCCAUAUUCACCUUACGAGAAUCGAAAACACACACACACACACACACACACACACACACACACACACACGCGCGCGCGCGCACACCCAGCAUUGUUAGAAUCUUAUUCCUCUUUACAUUCUCUUGACGUUUCCUGGUCAAUGAAUUCCACCCAAGACCUUAUUUCAAGGCCAUUGUAAUGUGAAUGAUUCUACCUUAAUGCUGAUACAGGCCACUGUGCUACUUAAUGCUACUGUGACCUACUGAUGUUCUACACAGAAAAACUCAAUGAGGGAGACGGAAGGAUUCACAGCUCUGUCCUUCGAUCCUAGUGUCGCCAGGUGGUAACAUCCAUGUGUAAAUUAAUCUUCUGAUUCCUGCUCUGCUCUGCUCAACUCUUCAGGUGCUAGUCCAGUUUUUUUUUUCCCCUUAUGACCCUUGGUGGUUUGAAUAAAAAUGGAUCCCAUAGGGUCACUCACAGGAAGUGGCACAAUUAGGAGGUGUGGCCUUGUUAGAAUGGGUGUGGCCUUUGUUGGAGGAAGUGUGUGUUACUGGGGUUAGGCUUUGAGGUUUCCAGCACUUGAGCCAGGCCCUGUGUGUCCUUCUCUGCUGACUUCUAAUCCAAAUGUAGAAAUCUCAGCCAACUUUCUAGCACACUAUUUGACUACUUGCCCGGUGCUUCUCAUCGUAAUGACAGAGGACUAAACCUCUGAAAUAUAAACUAACCAUAGUAAAGUAUUUCAUUAGGGGUGCCAGGGUCAUGGUGUAGCUUCACAGAAAUAGAAACCCUAACCGAGACAGACCCACAGCUGGUCAGCCCAGGUCUAUUAGUGUCUCAGGCCCAGAGAGCAAUGGAUAGACUUCUCCUUGCACAAGUGGCGUGACGUUCACCCCACUCCUAGCCAGCUGGAGACUCUAAGAAUGGGUUCACAUCUUUACAACGUGUUCCCUGGAAAGUAUCCUACUAGGCCACUUGGGCUAACUCACAUUCCAGGGAAAAUGGACCAAAACAGAUGAUCUACACUUGGUGUUCCAAUCUACCUGAUGAAGAGCAGUCUUGGCAACUGUGGCAUUGACAAAGAGUACAGGAGGAGAAACUUCUCAGCAAUAGAGGAGACUGAGCAAGUGUUUCAGUUAGGCCUUGAUAUCUUGUGCAAACGAUGUAGGCAAGAUGGCGUGGUCCAAGGAAUACCCUUCAUCUUCCUCUUUGUAACUCCCCAGAGGAUUCAUUCCCCCAGUGUAUCACCUAGCCCAUACUUAUAGCAACCUCACACUGUCGUUUGAGGUUCCAUGUAUUUGAUCUGUCAAAAAUUCCCAUCUUCUGCUGAUUUUUUUUUUAAAAGAAAAGAACAGAAGCUGGAGAGGAGGAUAAGGUUAAACACUUGAUGAGCUCUAAAAACAAACAUGAAGGCUAGAAUUUGGGACUGGAGAGAUGAGCCAAGGCUUAGGAAGACCAACUGCUCUUUGCAGAGGACAUGUUUUUGGUCCCAAACGCCUCUAUCAGACUCACAAUCAUCUGUAACUUGGUCUCCAAAGAACCUGACACAUUCUCCCUGACCUCUGUGGACAAACGGGCACGUGCACGUGCGCACACACGCGCGCGCACACACACACACACACACACACACACACACACACACACACGAAAGAAAAUAAA